rnacentral:rRNA from 1 species
CCGGCGAGUGGCGAACGGGUGAGUAAAGUAUCGGAACGUACCUUUCAGUGGGGGAUAACGUAGCGAAAGUUACGCUAAUACCGCAUAUUCUGUGAGCAGGAAAGCAGGGGAUCGCAAGACCUUGCGCUGAUUGAGCGGCCGAUAUCAGAUUAGCUAGUUGGUGGGGUAAAGGCCUACCAAGGCGACGACCUGUAGCGGGUCUGAGAGGAUGAUCCGCCACACUGGGACUGAGACACGGCCCAGACUCCUACGGGAGGCAGCAGUGGGGAAUUUUGGACAACGAGCGCAACCCU